GACGAACGCUGGCGGCGUGCUUAACACAUGCAAGUCGAACGGAGUGGCGCACAGGUGAGUAACACGUGGGUGCCCUUCCCUGCACUUCGUGAUAAGCCUGGGCAACUGUGGCUAAUACCUGAUAGUGUUGGAUGUGCACGCGGCCUCUCGGCUUGCUGGUGGGGUAAUGGCCUACCAAGGCGGCGACGGGUAGCCGGCCUGAGAGUGUGGACGGGCACAUGGGGACUGCGGCACGGCCCAGACGCCUACGGGAGGCAGCAGUGGGGAAUAUUGCACAAUGGGCGGAAGCCUGUGGCAGAGACGUCGCGUGGGGGAUGACGGCCUUCGGGUUGUAAACUCCUUUGACCAUAGACGCGGUAGAUGGAGAAGAAGCCCCGGCUAACUACGUGCCAGCAGCCGCGGUAAUAC
rnacentral:rRNA from 1 species